rnacentral:rRNA from 1 species
GAUGAACGCUGGCGGCGUGCCUAAUACAUGCAAGUCGAGCGAACAGACGAGGAGCUUGCUCCUCUGACGUUAGCGGCGGACGGGUGAGUAACACGUGGAUAACCUACCUAUAAGACUGGGAUAACUUCGGGAAACCGGAGCUAAUACCGGAUAAUAUAUUUAACCGCAUGGUUCAAUAGUGAAAGACGGCUUUGCUGUCACUUAUAGAUGGAUCCGCGCCGCAUUAGCUAGUUGGUAAGGUAACGGCUUACCAAGGCAACGAUGCGUAGCCGACCUGAGAGGGUGAUCGGCCACACUGGAACUGAGACACGGUCCAGACUCCUACGGGAGGCAGCAGUAGGGAAUCUUCCGCAAUGGGCGAAAGCCUGACGGAGCAACGCCGCGUGAGUGAUGAAGGUCUUCGGAUCGUAAAACUCUGUUAUUAGGGAAGAACAAAUGUGUAAGUAACUAUGCACGUCUUGACGGUACCUAAUCAGAAAGCCACGGCUAACUACGUG